CACGUAGGGGACGAGCGUUGUCCGGAUUCAUUGGGCGUAAAGCGCGUGUAGGCGGCUUCGUAAGUCCGUUGUGAAAGUCCAGGGCUCAACCCUGGAAUGCCGAUGGAUACUGCGGAGCUAGAGUCCGGAAGAGGCGAGUGGAAUUCCCGGUGUAGCGGUGAAAUGCGCAGAUAUCGGGAGGAACACCAAUGGCGAAGGCAGCUCGCUGGGACGGUACUGACGCUGAGACGCGAAAGCGUGGGGAGCAAACAGG
rnacentral:rRNA from 1 species